rnacentral:rRNA from 1 species
ACGGGAGGCAGCAGUGGGGAAUAUUGGGCAAUGGGCGAAAGCCUGACCCAGCGACGCCGCGUGAGGGAAGAAGAUCUUCGGAUUGUAAACCUUAGUCAACAGGGACGAAGCAAGUGACGGUACCUGUGGAGGAAGCCACGGCUAACUACGUGCCAGCAGCCGCGGUAAUACGUAUGGUGCAAGCGUUAUCCGGAUUUACUGGGUGUAAAGGGAGCGUAGACGGCAAAGCAAGUCCGAAGUGAAAUCCCGGGGCUCAACCCCGGAACUGCUUUGGAAACUGUUUAGCUAGAGUGCAGGAGAGGUAAGUGGAAUUCCUAGUGUAGCGGUGAAAUGCGUAGAUAUUAGGAGGAACACCGGUGGCGAAGGCGGCUUACUGGACUGUAACUGACGUUGAGGCUCGAAAGCGUGGGGAGCAAACAGGAUUAGAUACCCUGGUA